GGGUUAGUCAAGGUUUCGACAGGGGUUUUGAAACUGGUGAAGCUAUCCGCAGGCUGAUGCGUCAAAUCGCAAAUUAAAAAUAAACGCUGAAGAUAAUUUAGCAAUCGCUGCCUAAUGGCAGCUAUCCGACACUUUGCACCUACACUUAGUGACCCGGGUAUCGACUUUGUAGGAAACGACUUAGGUUAAGCUUUGCACCUAAGGGCGUAACAUGAAGCUACUGAAGGACAAAGGCUGUCUGUUUCCGAUGUCCGGAGGGAAUGAGGAGCAAUCCAAAUAACCGACUAUGAUAGUAGAAGAACAGGGGAUGGGCUUUUGGACGCGGGUUCGACUCCCGCCUAAUCCACUG
rnacentral:tmRNA from 1 species